rnacentral:lncRNA from 1 species
GCCGGAGUGGACAGCCCAGGAAACUAAAACCAUAGCAUGUAAGAUCUUGCUCAUCCACAGAUUAUCACUAUCCAGCAAUCCUGAUUCUUAAAACAUCAUCUCCACAGAGCUGUUUAUCCUGCUGGAAUGCUUCGUUGCUUCAGCAUUGCUUUGCAAUGAAGAUUCAUUACUGUUUCUUAGUGUUGCUCUUUCUUGGCCUGUUGUCCAACUCAGGAAGUGAAGAUAGUCACAAAGUCAACAGUACCCUGAAGUGUAAAACUCAAAUGUCGUGUGUCUCUGAAAAUCCAAAUGGAAAAUGCUCUGAUGUUCAGAAAGUGGAGCUGUGUGUCUUACGUCUUAGUAGAAUUCAUCAGCAACAGACCUAAAGAAAUUGGAAACCAGGAAUUCAAGAGGAUCAUCUCCUUUGCUGCAUUAAAUUAGAAAUAAU